GUGCUGGGCGUGGCCUGUCUGCACACGGCCUGCGGCCGCCAUCUUGAACAGCGGUGCGCGCUCAUCCCCGGGGCCCCGGCGGGUCUUAAGCGCCCCUGAAGCGCUGAGUUCCAGGUUUCGGCACCGGACCCGCCCUGAGCGAGAGAAACCAGACUAAGCACAGAGGAAAAGAAAAAAGGUUAGGCUUUAUUUUGUUAUCCCAGGUUCUAUUUUUUUUUUUUUUUUUUUUUUUGGUCUUUUUGCUGUUUCUUGGGCCGCUCCUGUGGCAUAUGGAGGUUCCCAGGCUAGGGGUCCAAUCGGAGCUGUAGCCACCGGCCUACACCAGAGCCACAGCAACUCGGGAUCCAAGCCGCGUCUGCAACCUACACCACAGCUCACGGCAGCGCCGGAUCGUUAACCCACUGAGCAAGGGCAGGGACCGAACCGCAACCUCAUGGUUCCUAGUCGGAUUCGUUAACCACUGCGCCACGACGGGAACUCCAAAGUAGAACUUGGAUUUUUUUUUUUUUUUUUUUUGUCUCUUUGCCUUUUCUAGGGCCACUCCCUCGGCAUAUGGAGGUUCCCAGGCUAGCGGUCUAAUUGGAGCUGUAGCCACCGACCCAUGCCAGAGCCACAGCAACACGGGAUCUGAGCUGAGUCUGCAACUUACAGCACAGCUCAUGGCAACGCCAGAUCCUUAACCCACUGAGCAAGGCCAGGGUUCGAACCUGCAACCUCAUGGUUCCUAGCCGGUCUCCUUACCAGGUUCUAUUUUUAUUUCCUGGACUUGUUCAUGGGCUUUGCCAGUGACAGGACGUUACUGUGCAUAAAAAUCACCGGGAAAUCUUUUGAAAAUGCAGGUUGUGGUUGAGCAGGUGGGGGUGCGGUCUGAGAGUCUCCGUUUUUAACAAGGUCCCAGGUGAAGCCUAUGCUGCCGGUCCACAGACCGCCCUUGGAAGGGCAAGGUCGUAAAGGAGUCCUGCAGAUAAAGAAGAGGGAAGAAAUGACCGCAUCCUAAGUCUGGCAGGGGGUCCGAGCCGGCCCUGCGCGGAAGAGGCACUCCGUGAGCAAGAAAAGUGUCUUAGUGGGGCCGGGCUUGCUGCUGUCAGUAGGGGCCUCGAGGGGAACAGGGACCUGACCUGCUGCCCCAGGGACACGAGGUCCAUGCAGCUGCCGUACACCCCCGCACCUGGAACCCCUCCACCACUGCUGAGUUCUAGCAGGUGCCUGACUUUGCCAUCAACCCCCUGCCGACCUUUUAGAGGUAAGAGUGAUCGCAUGGCCUUAUUUGCGUCCGUUUUGAGGUUUCAGUGUUCAUCAGUGGUUGGGGG
rnacentral:lncRNA from 9 species